UAUGGUUAAGCUUUUAAGGGCUGACGGCGGAUGCCUUGGCACCAGGAGGCGAUGAAGGACGCGGAAAGCUGCGAUAAGCUUCGGUGAGCUGCUAACAGGCUUUGACCCGGAGAUUUCCGAAUGGGGAAACCCGGCAGAGGUAAUGCUUUGUCAUCGUUCAAUGAAUACAUAGUUGGACGAAGCGAACGGGGGGAAGUGAAACAUCUCAGUACCCCCAGGAAUAGAAAUCAAUUGAGAUUCCGUGAGUAGCGGCGAGCGAAAGCGGAAGAGCCCAAACCAGUCAAUUUAUUGGCUGGGGUUGUAGGACCCCGAUGUGGGAUUGGUGAGAAAUAGCGGAAAGGUCUGGAAAGGCCUGCCAGAGACGGUGAUAGUCCGGUACGCAAAAUUUUGAUCCACCCUAGGGAGUUCCUGAGUACCACGAGACACGUGAAACCUUGUGGGAAUCUGGGAGGACCAUCUUCCAAGGCUAAAUACUACCUGGUGACCGAUAGUGAACUAGUACCGUGAGGGAAAGGUGAAAAGAACCCCGGGAGGGGAGUGAAAUAGAAACUGAAACCGUCAGCUUACAAGCAGUUGGAGCAUUAAUUUAUUAGUGUGACAGCGUGCCUUUUGCAUAAUGAGUCAACGACUUACCCUAUGUAGCAAGGUUAAGCCGUUAGGUGGAGCCGCAGCGAAAGCGAGUCUUAAACGGGCGUGUAGUUACAUGGGGUAGACCCGAAGCCGGGUGAUCUAUCCAUGUCCAGGGUGAAGUUUCGGUAACACGAAAUGGAGGCCCGAACCGAUAUAGGUUGAAAACUGUUCGGAUGAGGUGUGGAUAGGAGUGAAAGGCUAAUCAAACUCGGUGAUAGCUGGUUUUCUCCGAAAUAUAUUUAGGUAUAGCCUUGCGUGAUGACUGUUGGAGGUAGAGCACUGACAGGACUAGGGGUCCCACCGGAUUACCAACUCCUUUCAAACUCCGAAUGCCAACAAGUUCUAGCGCAGGAGUCAGACUGCGGGAGAUAAGUUCCGUAGUCGAGAGGGAAAGAACCCAGACCGCCGAUUAAGGUCCCUAAAUUUGCACUAAGUGGGAAAGGAGGUGGAAUUGCACAGACAACCAGGAGGUUGGCUUAGAAGCAGCAACCCUUUAAAGAAAGCGUAAUAGCUCACUGGUCUAGUGAAUCCGCGCCGAAAAUGUAACGGGGCUUAAGUGCAAUACCGAAAUCGCGGAAUGAAAUUUAUUUCAUUGGUAGGAGAACAUUGUGUAGGCCUGAGAAGGUGUAUGGUAACGUAUGCUGGAGGUAUCACAAGAGCUUAUGUUGACACGAGUAGCGAUAAAGGGAGCGAGAAACUCCCUCGCCGUAAGUCCAAGGUUUCCUCAGGUCAAGUUAAUCUUCCGAGGGUUAGUCGGCCCCUAAGGCGAGGCUGAAAAGCGUAGUCGAUGGGAAACAGGUUAAUAAUCCUGUACCGCUGGUAUGGAGCUACUGUAUAAGGGGGGACGGAGAAGGAUAGACUAUCCGUCUGUUGGAAUAGACGGUUUAAGCAUGUAGGCUUGAAACUUUGGUAAAUCCGGGUUUCUUUCAGGCUGAGAUGUGAUGACGAGUCCCUAACGGGACACAAAGUAGUUGAUUCCAAGCUUCCUGGAAAAUCCUCGUAUACAUUCAUACUGGUGACCGUACCGCAAACCAACACAGGUGGACAGGUAGAGAAUACCAAGGCGCUUGAGAGAACUCUGGUUAAGGAACUCGGCAAAAUAGCACCGUAACUUCGGGAGAAGGUGUGCCUCUGUUACGUGAAGUCAUUUACUGAUUGAGCGGAAGGAGGUUGCAGUGAAAUGGGGGGAGCGACUGUUUACUAAAAACACAGGACUAUGCGAAGUCGUAAGACGAUGUAUAUGGUCUGACGCCUGCCCGGUGCCGGAAGGUUAAGGGGACUUGUCAGCGCAAGCGAAGCAAUGAACCGAAGCCCCGGUAAACGGCGGCCGUAACUAUAACGGUCCUAAGGUAGCGAAAUUCCUUGUCGGGUAAGUUCCGACCUGCACGAAUGGCGUAACGAUUUCCCCACUGUCUCAACCAGAGACUCAGCGAAACUGUAGUACCGGUGAAGAUGCCGGUUACCCGCAACAAGACAGAAAGACCCCGUGAACCUUUACUGCAGCUUGGCAUUGUGUUUAGGGAUAACAUGUGCAGGAUAGGUGGGAGACUUUGAAGCAUGCACGCCAGUGUGUGUGGAGUCACCCUUGAAAUACCACCCUUGUUAUCUUUGAACUCUAACUGCGAUCCCUUAUCGGGAUUCAGGACAUUGUCUGGUGGGUAGUUUGACUGGGGCGGUCGCCUCCCAAAGAGUAACGGAGGCGCGCGAUGGUUCCCUCAGGCCGAUUGGAAACCGGUCGUAGAGUGUAAAGGCACAAGGGAGCUUGACUGCGAGAGAGACAUCUCGAGCAGGUACGAAAGUAGGUCUUAGUGAUCCGGCGAUUCCGCAUGGAAGGGUCGUCGCUCAACGGAUAAAAGGUACUCCGGGGAUAACAGGCUUAUCUCCCCCAAGAGUCCAUAUCGACGGGGAGGUUUGGCACCUCGAUGUCGGCUCAUCACAUCCUGGGGCUGGAGCAGGUCCCAAGGGUUCGGCUGUUCGCCGAUUAAAGUGGUACGUGAGCUGGGUUUAAAACGUCGUGAGACAGUUUGGUCCUUAUCUGUUGCGGGCGCAGGAUAUUUGAGGAGAUCUUUCCCUAGUACGAGAGGACCGGGAUGGACGAACCGAUGGUGUUUCAGUUGUUCCGCCAGGGGCAUUGCUGAGUAGCUAAGUUCGGAAGGGAUAACCGCUGAAAGCAUCUAAGCGGGAAGCCCACUCCAAGAUAAGAUAUCCCGUAUCUUAAGAUACCUAAAGGCUCGUUGGAGACUACAACGUUGAUAGGUCGGAUGUGGAAGUGUAGUAAUACAUGGAGCUAACCGAUACUAAUAAGCCGUGCGGCUUAACCAUAU
rnacentral:rRNA from 1 species